rnacentral:rRNA from 1 species
GACGAACGCUGGCGGCGUGCUUAAUACAUGCAAGUCAACUGAACUUGAGAUAGCAAUAUUUUAAGGGAGGUGGCGCACGGGUGAGUAACACGUAGGUAAUCUGCCUUUAGGUCUGACAUAAUUCCGCGAAAGCGGGACUAACUUCAGAUGAUGCAGCGGCUCGACAUCGAGACAGUUGUUAAAUCUUCGGAGCCUAAAGAUGAGCCUGCGUCUGAUUAGGUAGUUGGCGGAGUAAAAGCCCACCAAGCCUGCGAUCAGUAGCUGGUCUGAGAGGAUGAUCAGCCACACUGGAACUGAGACACGGUCCAGACUCCUACGGGAGGCAGCAGUAAGGAAUAUUGCUCAAUGGCCGAAAGGCUGAAGCAGCAACGCCGCGUGGAGGAUGAAAUACUUUUGUAUGUAAACUCCUGUAAGAAGGGAAAAUAUUUCGAUUUAUCGGAAUUGAUUGUACCUUCAGAGUAAGCACCGGCUAACU